CUCGAGUGGUAACCGUUAUUAUUGGGUCUAAAGGGUCUGUAGCCGGCCGGAUAAGUCUCUUGAGAAAUCUGGCAGCUUAACUGUCAGGCUUUCAGGAGAUACUGUCUGGCUCGAGGCCGGGAGAGGUGAGAGGUACUUCAGGGGUAGGGGUGAAAUCUUGUAAUCCUUGAAGGACCACCAGUGGCGAAGGCGUCUCACCAGAACGGACCUGACGGCAAGGGACGAAAGCUAGGGGCACGAACCGGAUUAGAUACCCGGGUAGUCCUAGCCGUAAACGAUACUCGCUAGGUGUCGGCCACGGUGCGACCGUUGCCGGUGCCGUAGGGAAGCCGUGAAGCGAGCCACCUGGAAAGUACGGCCGCAAGGCUGAAA
rnacentral:rRNA from 1 species